GACGAACGCUGGCGGCGUGCUUAACACAUGCAAGUCGAACGGAAAGGCCCUGCUUUUGUGGGGUGCUCGAGUGGCGAACGGGUGAGUAAAACGUGAGUAACCUGCCCUUGACUUUGGGAUAACUUCAGGAAACUGGGGCUCAUACCGGAUAGGAGCUCCUGCUGCAUGGGGGGGGUUGGAAAGUUUCGGCGGUUGGGGAUGGACUCGCGGCUUAUCAGCUUGUUGGUGGGGUAGUGGCUUACCAAGGCGUGGACGGGUAGCCGGCCUGGGAGGGUGACCGGCCACAAUGGGACUGAGGAACGGCCCAUACUGCUACGGGAGGCAGAGGUGGGAAAUAUUGCACAAUGGGCGGAAGCCGGAUGCAGCAACGCCGCGUGCGGGAUGACGGCCGUCGGGUUGUAAACCGCUUUCGCCUGUGACGAAGCGUGAGUGACGGUAAUGGGUAAAGAAGCAACGGCUAACUACGUG
rnacentral:rRNA from 1 species